rnacentral:lncRNA from 1 species
CCUCCCAAGUGGCUGGGAUUACAGGUGCCCAUCACCACGCCCGGCUAAUUUUUGUGUAUGUAGUAGAGACAGGGUCUCACCAUGUUGGCCAGGCUGGUCUCAAACUCCUGACCUCAGGUGAUCCACCCAUCUCAGCCUCCCAAAGUGCUGGGAUUACAGGUGUGACACUGCACCCGGCCAAUUUUCCCAAUCUUAUAGACCAAAUUAUUUUAGCAAAACAAAAUAACUUCUAAAAGUCAGUUUUCACUAAUCUCAUUUUCUGAGGAGCUAAGAAAUACCAAAAGGUUUUAUCAGGUGUUUGAACUGUGAUGUUUUAAAAUAGCCUCACUUGCCUGUAUAGGUAGUCACCCACCAAUUCAUGUAAUAUAAUUUUUGGUUGACAUCAAAUAUAUACUUCAAGGCGGUCAUAAUUUAAGAAAAACACGAUUGACAUUUUUACAAAGGCUCUC